CCAGGCUCGAACGGUGAUGGACAUCCGGCGAAAGCCGGCUCCCGCAAGGGCCGUCAUCGAGGUGCUGCAUGGCUGUCGUCAGCUCGUGUCGUGAGAUGUUGGGUUAAGUCCCGCAACGAGCGCAACCCUUGUCCGCUGUUGCCAUCAGGUUAAGCUGGGCACUCUGCGGAGACUGCCGGUGAUAAACCGGAGGAAGGUGGGGAUGACGUCAAGUCAGCAUGGCCUUUAUGUCUGGGGCUACACACGUGCUACAAUGGCCGAUACAAACCGUCGCGAUACCGCAAGGUGGAGCAAAUCGGAGAAAAUCGGUCUCAGUUCGGAUUGCAGGCUGCAACUCGCCUGCAUGAAGUUGGAAUCGCUAGUAAUCGCGGAUCAGCACGCCGCGGUGAAUACGUUCCC
rnacentral:rRNA from 1 species